rnacentral:rRNA from 1 species
CAUGCAGUCGACGGUAACAGACAGAAUCUUGCUCUCUUUGCUGACAAGUGCUGACGACGUGAGUAACGCGUGGUGAAUCUACCUCGUAGUUGGGGAUAGCCCGGAGAAACCGGAUUAAUACCCAAUAACUUCUCCGGAUGAAAAGGUGCCUCUGCUUGCGGCAAUUGCUAUGAGAUGAGCCCGCGUUAGAUUAUUUAUUUGAUGGGGUGUGGCCUACCAAGACGACCAUCUAGCUAUGGUUUGAAACGAUGAUCAGCCGAUUGGGACUGAGACGCGGCCGAGACUCCUACCAGAGGCCGCCGUGGGGAAUAUUGGACAAUGGUUGAAAACCGGAUCCAGCCCUACCGCGUGUGUGACGAGGGGCUUCGGAUUGUCUAGCACUUUUAUGUCCGAUUAAGGAUUGAGUGUUGAUACCGCUUUAUUUUGAUCGUACUAGGAGGAUAACCGCCGGCUAACUCCGUGCCAACUCCCGGGGUAAUACGGAGGGUGCGAGGGGGUAAUCGGAAAUACUGGGCGUUAAGGGCACGUAGGCGGCCUGGUCAGUCCCAAUGUGAAAAUCCCCCGGACUUACCCUGGGCAACUGCGGUGGAAAACUGUUUGG